AAAACCCUCCAGCUGUGGAGUUUUAUUGACUGAAAUUGGAGUAAUACAGAGAUUAGCAGGGCCCCUAGGUAAGGACAGCAUUCAAACUGGUGAAAUGUCCUGUGUGUUU